UACGUAGGGCGCAAGCGUUGUCCGGAAUUAUUGGGCGUAAAGAGCUCGUAGGCGGCCUGUUGCGUCCGCUGUGAAAUCCCGGGGCUCAACCCCGGGCCUGCAGUGGAUACGGGCUGGCUAGAGGCAGGCAGGGGAGAACGGAAUUCCUGGUGUAGCGGUGAAAUGCGCAGAUAUCGGGAAGAACACCGGUGGCGAAGGCGGGACUCUGGGCCGAUACUGACGCUGAGGAGCGAAAGCGUGGGGAGCAAACAGG
rnacentral:rRNA from 1 species